rnacentral:rRNA from 1 species
UUUAAAUGAAGACCAGAACAAAAGAUUAAACGUUUAAAUUAAUAUCUAUAUUUAAUUAAUCCAACUUAUCUUAAAUGUAAAAAGACAUUUAUAAUUAAGAAAGACGACAAGACCCUAUUGAACUUAACUUAAGUUAAACUGGGGUAGUUCAUUAAUAAUAAUUUUAAUAUUAAAAAUAAAAUAAAUAAUCCAUUAUCAUUGAAAUGAUCAAGUUACCACAGGGAUAACAGCGUAAUAAUUUUCUAAAGCUCUUAUAAAAACAAUAGUUUGCGACCUCGAUGUUGAAUUAAUUACCUAAUUAAAGCAAAAACUAAUUAAGGAAGUCUGUUCGACUUUUAAAAAAUUACAUGAUUUGAGUUCAGACCGGUAUAAGCCAGGUCGGUUUCUAUCUUCUUUCUAAUUCUUGUAGUACGAAAGGGCCCAAGAAACUAAUUUUAUUAAUUAAUUGGCAGAAAAAUGCAUUAGAAUUAGAAUCUAAUAAAACUAAUAAUACCAUUUAUCUUACUUUACCUAACUACCACAAUUAGA